CGAACGGGUGAGUAACGCGUGAGGGACCUGCCUCAAAGAGGGGGACAACAGUUGGAAACGACUGCUAAUACCGCAUAAGCCCACGGCUCGGCAUCGAGCAGAGGGAAAAGGAGUGAUCCGCUUUGAGAUGGCCUCGCGUCCGAUUAGCUAGUUGGUGAGGUAACGGCCCACCAAGGUGACGAUCGGUAGCCGGACUGAGAGGUUAAACGGCCACAUUGGGACUGAGACACGGCCCAG
rnacentral:rRNA from 1 species